GUCGAAAGUGUGUUAUUUCGAAGAAAAAAAAACGUGAGCUGAGGAUGGAUACCUUUGUCCAUGAAAAGUUAAAAGACUGGAAUAUGGAAGGCCUUCUGGAGAUCUUUAAGAAUGAACAAAUUGACAAAGAAAGCUUC